rnacentral:rRNA from 1 species
GACGAACGCUGGCGGCGCGCUUAACACAUGCAAGUCGAGCGAGCGGCGGACGGGUGAGUAAUGUAUGGGGAUCUGCCUGAUGGAGGGGGAUAACUACUGGAAACGGUAGCUAAUACCGCAUACCAUCAGAUGAACCCAUAUGGGAUUAGCUAGUAGGUGAGGUAACGGCUUACCUAGGCGACGAUCCCUAGCUGGUCUGAGAGGAUGAUGAGCCACACUGGGACUGAGACACGGCCCAGACUCCUACGGGAGGCAGAAGUGGGGAAUAUUGAACAAUGGGCGAAAGCCUGAUGCAGCCAUGCCGCGUGUAUGAAGAAGGACUUCGGGUUGUAAAGUACUUUCAGUCGGGAGGCGUUACCGACAGAAGAAGCACCGGCUAACUCAGUGCCAGCAGCCGCGGUAAUAC